rnacentral:rRNA from 1 species
AUUGAACGCUGGCGGCAGGCCUAACACAUGCAAGUCGAGCGAGCGGCGGACGGGUGAGUAAUGUAUGGGGACUGCCCGAUAGAGGGGGAUAACUACUGGAAACGGUGGCUAAUACCGCAUACUAUCGGAUAACCCAUAUGGGAUUAGCUAGUAGGUGGGGGAAAGGCUCACCUAGGCGACGAACUCUAGCUGGUCUGAGAGGAUGAUCAGCAAUACUAGGACUGAGAUACUGCCCAGACUCCUUCGGAGGCAGCAGUGGGGCAUAUGUGACAAUGGGCGCAAGCCUGAUGCAGCCAUGCCGCGUGUGUGGGAAAGGCCUUAGGGUUGUAAAGUACUUUCAGCGGAGAGGCGUUACCCGCAGAAGAAGCACCGGCUAACUCCGUGCCAGCAGCCGCGGUAAUAC